UGAAAUGUUUAGUGUGUCUUUUGUGAAUAC
rnacentral:piRNA from 1 species